UUUAUGUGGAUUGAUUUUGAUUAUUAUGGAAACAAUCAUAGCACGAUAGAUUAUAGGUUGAUUAAUCUCUAGUUUUGGCUUUUAGUUUUAGCUUCUAAUUUUUGCUUUUAGUUCCAAAUCUUCUUGAGCUUCCUCACAAUGUUCUCUAGUAAAGUGGCUUCACGUUUUGAUUGCUCUAACUCUGACAUCAACUAUUGUAAAGAAAAGAAGCUAAGGUAUACAGGCAGGGGCGGAGCUAGUCCCCCCAACUGUAAAAAAAAAAUUAAAAAAAAAAAAAAAAGAAAUUAAAAACAGAAAGAGUGCAAACAGUAUCGGGUAGAAAGAACAAAGAAGGAAGUGAAUUAGUGAAACCCUAACUUUCUCUCUCUUCGAAAGUUGGAGUUCUCCACUUCUCCUCGCUCGUCGGCGGUCUACAGGCUCCACCGGCCACCGCUCCACUCCGGCACUUCGUCGGUUCAUCCCAAGACCAAGUCGGAGUUCGCGUCUGCCGUCUUCGUUCGAGUUGGAGUUCGCGUCUGCUAGUUGGAGACUUGGAGUUCCAGUUCGCGUCUGCAGGUCUACCAGUUGGAGUUCCAGUUCGCGUCUUCGUUCAAUCGUUCGACAAUUGGAGUUCGCUGUUGGCUGUUCGCGUCUUCUACUCUGUCUUCGACUCUUCGCUAGACCCAAUUCACCCAAAUCACCAAAUGGUAGCUUGAUACUAAUCAAUGAGCUAGAGUGCUAUUAAUUUUCUCUAAUACGAGCAGUUUGGAACGGAGCCUAACCUUUAAUUUGACCAAUUGUAAUACAGGGCGUACAAAUACAUGGAAGAAGAUAUAUAUUAAAGACAAAAACAAAGAGUUGAUCUAUUAGCAUCUCUUUAAGGGUUACAUUCCUUCCCCCAUGUACAAAAUUAGAUAUAAACAAAUAUACAUUUAGUGUUAUUAGAAAUGUACUAGCUUAGAUCAUGAAUUACAAGUUAUUUAGUAUUUUUA